CAGACACCGAUGCGCACGGGUGCGCGCCGGAAGAACGCUGCAGCAGCAGCAACAGCAGCAGCACACGGGACUGAAAUGGCGUAGCGUGAAGUCCACUGCCGCAGCAGCGCAGUGGGGCCAGGCUCACCGAACAUUUCAGAGCCUGGCCCGUCGUACUUCAACCAAUGAGUAUGAUGGAGAUGACUUUUCGCUCCAGUUCACUCGCUUCCAAACCAGCACGAGAUCACCGGAGACAUGCCCCUCAUAUGUCUUGACAAGAAGAGAAAGGAACAGCCUGAAAGGAAGACAUGACCAGAUGAGACCGUCUUGUCUUCGUUCUUCAAACUGCCCUCCAUCCCGAUAAGUUGACUUUCCUCCAGCGUUAUUUCAGGGAAGUGUUUGUUCAGCAUACCAACUCUCCCUGGUCUAUGAACAUAUCAUCUCUGCACUUUGAAGAUGACAAGUGAAGUUGUUUUUAUUCAUGAAAGAACCAUAAACUCUUCAUGUGUCCAAAAAAACUUAAAUAACAACAUGAUUGUGCCACAGUACAGAACCAUUGUCUGGUCAUAUUUGUUAUAAAUAAAUCCAGUGGACUAUUUAUAUAGUUGCAGGUUGAGUUAAAAGAAAUUGAAAAUAGAAAUAUCAAAAGCGCACUUGCUUUGCAGGUAAAACAAAUGCACAUUUAAAAACUAAAGCAUGCAAGCAAGAUGAAGUAGCUUCAUCCAACAAUUUUAUUAUCUGCAGACUAAGUGCCUAGAUGCGUCUCUUUUUAACAGCUCCUGUCUCUCAAUUGACUAUUUCCAUAACUUAGUUUAGCUUUAAACCUACAAGCUUGGUCAUUUAUUUAGUCUUUGAAAAUGCCUGAAAAUGAGACGACAAACUGUAGACAGAAAGCUCUCGUCAUUUUUUUUGUUCUCUCAAUUCAGAACUCAUAUUGGUGCUUUAGCAAAACCAUGAACCAUUCUUUCAUGUUUUCUGUCUACUUGUACUGACAUACCAAGAUAGACAGUGGCACACUGACCCAAGCAUAAGCGUUAUAAAUUCCACAGUUAAACCUUCUAGUGGGGGUGAGUUGCUAAUGAGAUGCAGGACAUAAUGAAAUAUAAUUAUUUUACUACCUCAGAAGUUACCACAGCUCAGACCCACACAGCAAGCGCUCUAAUCAAACAAUAUUCACAUUUUUUUCUCGCGGUUAUAUAAAUAUAGUCAUUGUCUGUUAAAUGGUUUGGUAAUCCGAUAGAAGAGGAGUGAUGAUGAUUCUUUUCAUGUACGUUACCUUAUUAAUAGGUGUAGGAAUAUCACACAAACCGUAUAGAGACCAUAUAGUUCACUGGUUGUAUAUUUGUCCUAUAAUUUCUCCAGGAGAACAUGCAGGGCGAGAUAAACUAGUCACUUUCAUCCAGUAACAUUCUCAUGGUUAUCCUUCUCAUUAGGCCUGAAGAAAGGCAGUAGAAUGGUUACAUGUUAGGCCCUGGCCACAACGUUUGAAAAUAGUUGCUAGUAUGUUUUUAAUGUAAUAUCUCAAAUACAUUAAGGCAAGUUGGUCUCUGGGUAUCUGACACAGCCUGUGCUCCAUCCUCAGCUACAGUGCACUGUGAAAAUAGGAAUUUAACUUCAUCUGUAAUGAGAAAAUGUACCCAAUUUUUGUUUUGUUUGUACAGUAGUUUCUAUCAUAAUGAUUGGUAGAAAUAAAGGUGUUAAGUACGCAGUAAGUAUUUUCAUGGAGGAAGAGUAGUGAGGCCUCAGUGUGGGAAAUGUGCAAUAUUCGUUUCUUUCCUUUGUCUUGUUUUGAGAUGAAUAUGUAUAUUGUACAAACAAGUGACAAGUUGUUCGCAAAAACAACAAAAUCACCAAUGUCUUCCAUUAAAUGAUGUAUAGUUUCAUCCGCUUGCUUUAAGGUGGCGGGAUUUGUAGUGCCAGCAUAAAAGUGGCCAUGCAUGUACGGUAGCGAUGCUUGCUGAGUUUAAUAGUCGUAGUGACAUUCAGUAUAUGCUAUAAUAAGUCGUUUAGAAAAUAAAUUAGGCUGACAAAGAUUUAGUUAGUAACCACCAUGGAUGCAGCAUCCACAACUUGAUCGAUUUGAUUAAGAGGCGGCUAGGUGAGUCAUUUUCACUUGUGCAGAGUUUGUUUUAGUUUUUUAAUUAACAAACACGGUUGUUUAUUCAUGGGUAAUCACUAUUAGUUAAUAAUAAUGUGUUGUAGCAUGCUGAGGAUUAGAACAAUGGCGGUUGGUAUUGACGUGCGGCUAGCCAUGUUGAAAUACAUGUAUAUGUUUCAUAAGCACUGUGUGAGUUUGUCCUAGUUUGUACUGUGAAAAAUUAAGUUCUGGGCCCAAAAUAGUCGACUUAGAUCAAAACGAGUCUCUAAACAAAUUAGUCGAUAUUACAGGUAUUGAAGAGUUUCAUUCGAUACCUGUUUCAAGAUAAUUCCUUAUUAUGGAAACAAAGACUUUUGCUAAAACGGAACAUCCUGAAAGUUUUAUUUGGUCUGUAAUAAUAGGAGAAUACAGUACUCUCUUCUGAUUAGAAAGGGUAACCUAGAACUGUGUUUGUAUUCAUACCUCUAAUAUUGCAUUCUCCAUCAGGUAUUAUUGUCUCAGACUAGAGCUGUGGGUAGAUUAUUCCUAGUAGCAGAAACUCUCGAUUUUAAAGUAACAUGUAGAAUAUUAAGUGGCAUAAAGCAAUUAUCAAAGCAUUGUAAUGUAGAUAAAUACCUCAAUGACUGGAAUGCAAACUAUAUUUUUAAAUAUACUCGAAGAUAUGCAAGCCAUGAUGUGUAUUACGUUCAUGAUUUAGAAGCAAUAAUCAGUUUAUGCAUGAAUUAUAGUGUCAGAACAGUUCAGUGGUGUUUGUGAAAUAGAAAUCUGUAGCAUAUUUGUGAGUGUAGUAAGUGUUUUUUUUCCAGAACAGUCCAUUGCUCAUACGGAACUAUUUACAUUUCGUAGUACAAAACAGCCCCAUUGUUCACUUACACCAAAUAAAUAUAUAUGAAGGUAGCACUGAGGGUGUGACAAAUAUUAAUAUAAAGGAUUUUUUUAGGACAGGCGGCGAAAGUAGAUAGGAAAUAUAUAUAUAUAUAUAUAUAAAUAUAUAUAUAUAUAUAUAUAUAUAUAUAUAUAUAUAUAUAUAUAUAUAUAUAUAUAUAUGCAGGGCCUAUGCCCUUUUAUUGACUUUGCAUGUUUACAUACAAACCAUUGUGGAACGCACAUAAGCUGUAUGCUUAUUUACAGCUUAUUUUCAUUGACAGCAAUAUGAGCAGUGUUCUGGGUAGCAGUUUGUAAAACUCUGAUGAUUCAUUAUAUCAAUAAAUCCUGGGUAAAUAGAAUAUACCACAAACCGGAGAGGAUCCAUUUGGGAAUUAACAUGUAUUUUUAAUAAGAGUGCAAAAAAUAACAUUUGCUGAUGCAUGGUAGAAGUGGAUAAGAAAUGUUUUGUGCUGCAUGCAAUAAUUGAGCUUUGCUUGAACAUAUUUAUGCAGAAAUGUGAUAAAACAAAAUCUAUGAGUGGACCAAUGUUGUGAUUUUCUUUUUCAAAUGCAUGAAAUCCCAAAGGUUUAUCUCUACUGUAAAUUAUUCAGUUGUAUUCAUUAAGAAAUGUUACUUUUUGGAUUUGAAUAUUGUAUGAUGAAAAUCAAAUUGUUAUGAGUCUGUGAUUCGAGGCAAAGUCGGAUACAGUAAGUUUUAGCAAAGCCUUAACAAUUGUGAGUUUAAAUGGAAAAACAUAAAAAUAAAAUUUGACGACUUAUUCUUGUUCAAUGCAAAUAACGCAGUUUAAAUAAUAUAAGUUUCUAUGCUUUGCUGACCUGAUGUGUGUUGCUGAUUUUGCCUCUGAAUGUGAAACUCUAUGCUUAGUCUGAUCUAUGCACUACAGAUGCACCCCGCAUGAUUUUGUACAAAAAUAUGAAAUUUUAGCAAUAAAAAAGCAGCAUGGUGCCAAUCAUAAAA